UCAAUGGCAAUGGUGUUUCUAGUAAAUGGUAUACUGCUCAGUUUAAAUGUUUAGAGACACCAGGGGCCUCUCUUUGGAAGCCAAACAGUGAGGCAGAGGCUGAAGCUGUCAAAUCGAUUUUUAAAAUUGCAGACAACCAAGAUAUAUGGACAGGUGCUUACAAGCCUUUCACUUCCGG